UACGAAGGGGGCUAGCGUUGCUCGGAAUCACUGGGCGUAAAGCGCACGUAGGCGGCUUCUUAAGUCAGGGGUGAAAUCCUGGAGCUCAACUCCAGAACUGCCUUUGAUACUGAGAAGCUUGAGUCCGGGAGAGGUGAGUGGAACUGCGAGUGUAGAGGUGAAAUUCGUAGAUAUUCGCAAGAACACCCGUGGCGAAAGCGGCUCUCUGGGACGGUACUGACGCUGAGACGCGAAAGCGUGGGGAGCAAACAGG
rnacentral:rRNA from 1 species